rnacentral:pre_miRNA from 1 species
GCGCGUUGGGGCCAGUGGUUCUUAACAGUUCAACAGUUCUGUAGCGCAAUUGUGAAAUGUUUAGGACCACUAGCUCCGGC